rnacentral:rRNA from 1 species
UACGGAGGGUGCAAGCGUUAUCCGGAUUCACUGGGUUUAAAGGAUGCGUAGGUGGGCAGGUAAGUCAGUGGUGAAAUCUCCGGGCUUAACCCGGAAACUGCCAUUGAUACUAUCAGUCUUGAAUACCGUGGAGGUAAGCGGAAUAUGUCAUGUAGCGGUGAAAUGCUUAGAUAUGACAUAGAACACCAAAUUGCGAAGGCAGCUUACUACCCGAACUAUUGACACUGAGGCACGAAAGCGUGGGGAUCAAACAGG